rnacentral:lncRNA from 1 species
GUGCCCCAUGGCCAUAGCGGAUAGAAGACUCUCAGAGCAGCUGGCUUUGGCCUUAAGUUUGGGCUGGGGAUCCCACAGAGAAGUUGACAUAGUAGGGUGAGAGAAAAGUCACACUCUUGGUUAAAUACCUAUGUUUAUGUCCUGGCUCUGCCUGAAGUCAUUUCUUGAUAAUCUAUCCCCACUCCAUUUUAAAUAAAUAAAUAAUAAUAAUUAAAUAAAUAAUACAUAAUUAUAUGAU